GACGAACGCUGGCGGCAUGCCUAAUACAUGCAAGUCGAGCGAACAGAUGAAGUGCUUGCACUUCUGACGUUAGCGGCGAACGGGUGAGUAACACGUAAGGAAUCUACCUAUAAGCGGGGGAUAACAUUCGGAAACGGGUGCUAAUACCGCAUAAUAUCUUCUUCCGCAUGGAAGAAGAUUGAAAGACGGCUCUGCUGUCACUCAUAGAUGACAUGGCGGUGCAUUAGUUAGUUGGUGGGGGAAUGGCCUACCAAGACGAUGAUGCAUAGCGGACCUGAGAGGGUGAUCGGCAACAUUGGGACUGAGACACGGCCCAAACUCCUACGGGAGGCAGCAGUAGGGAAUCUUCCGCAAUGGGCGAAAGCCUGACGGAGCAAUGCCGCGUGAGUGAAGAAGGCCUUCGGGUCGUAAAACUCUGUUAUAAGAGAAGAACAAAUUGUAGAGUAACUGCUACAGUCUUGACGGUAUCUUAUCAGAAAGCCACGGCUAACUACGUGCCAGCCGCCGCAGUAA
rnacentral:rRNA from 1 species